GGCGGGUCGGGCCGGGCCCUUUUCAUUUACGGGGCGGGCCGAGUCUAGAUGCUUAGAAAAACGGGUACCCGGACCGGCCCGUUUCUAAUUAUAAUGAACGGCAGAGAUUGAAUGAUAACCUAUCAUCCAAUCUCAACCGUUGGUUUCUGCCCUAGUUUCUACCAAGUCCAACUUUCCAGAAUUCACUUUGUCUCAGCCGCUCUAUCUCCCACAAUCUCUCUCUCUCCCCGAACUUUCUUCUUCUUCUGCUUCUUUUUCUUCUUUAAGUUCUUAAUCCCAGCUGGGUUUUGCUAAUUUUCUCUGCAUUUUCGCUCUGAGGACUGGACAUGUGAAAGCGUCAUCUUCUCAACACCGAGGAGGUAGUCCGAGAGCAGAUUCGCACCUUCUCUUCUCUUCUAAGUGCAUUGUACUGUUGACUUCUUACCAUAUAUGCUGUGUUUUCCAGUGGCAUGCUGUGGCGUUUUUCAGGAUGUCCAAUAUGUGCAAACAGAGCACGGUACAGUUUGCUUAUUCCAUUGGUUCCUGCACAAUGAGGUAGUCCGAGACGGAGCAGGUGCCACCAGAGUCGGAAAGCAUGGAGGUGUUGCUUGUGAGGAUGUUAGCCAUGGUGAGAAACGUGGCGGUGCCGGCGCGGGGCUCGGUUGAGAAGCUGUGGUGCGACGACGAAGGCAGCAUGGCGGUGGUUCUGGAGUCCUUUCCGUAGCGAUUUCGCAAAAAAAAAAAAAAAAAAAAAAAAAAAAACCAAGGACCGGCCCGUUUCAAACGGGCCAGGUUCGGUCCGAUUCCUGUAAUGAAAUAUGAUGUACCCGACUCGGCCCGGCCCGUUUCUUUUAACCUCCGGUUCCUUGAAAAUUAGGUCCGGCUCGGCCCGGCCCGUGCCCAGCCCUAGCGCAAAGCAUAAAAGUUUAUAAGGCCUAAAAGUCUGUUGGUGCAAGGUCUUAGCCAUGGUGGCGUCAUAUGGAUUGAAGAAGAAAGUUGGGAUGUAGAAAUUUGAGGGAAUUUAAUGAAAUUGGGUGAAAUAAAUUUUUCUU